rnacentral:rRNA from 1 species
GAUGAACGCUGGCGGCGUGCCUAAUACAUGCGAGUCGAGCGAACAGACGAGGAGCUUGCUCCUCUGACGUUAGCGGCGGACGGGUGAGUAACACGUGGAUAACCUACCUAUAAGACUGGGAUAACUUCGGGAAACCGGAGCUAAUACCGGAUAAUAUAUUGAACCGCAUGGUUCAAUAGUGAAAGACGGUUCUGCUGUCACUUAUAGAUGGAUCCGCGCCGCAUUAGCUAGUUGGUAAGGUAACGGCUUACCAAGGCGACGAUGCGUAGCCGACCUGAGAGGGUGAUCGGCCACACUGGAACUGAGACACGGUCCAGACUCCUACGGGAGGCAGCAGUAGGGAAUCUUCCGCAAUGGGCGAAAGCCUGACGGAGCAACGCCGCGUGAGUGAUGAAGGUCUUCGGAUCGUAAAACUCUGUUAUUAGGGAAGAACAAAUGUGUAAGUAACUAUGCACGUCUUGACGGUACCUAAUCAGAAAGCCACGGCUAACUACGUG